rnacentral:lncRNA from 1 species
GUACUGUAAUAUAACAACAUUAUACUAUAAACAACACAGGUACUGUACUAUAACAGCAUUACACUAUACACCACAGGUACUGUAAUAUAACAGCAUUUACUAUAACACCACAGGUACUGUAUAUACAGUACACUAACACCACAGGUACUGUACUAUAACAACAUUAUACUAUAACACCACAGGUACUGUAAUAUACAACAUUAUACUAAACACCACAGAUACUGGAAUAUAACAACAUUAUACUAUAACACCACAGGUACUGGAAUAUAACAACAUUAUACUGAUAACACCACAGGUACUGUAAUAUAACAGCAUUAUACUAUAACACCACAGGUACUGUAAAUAACAUAUUAUACUAUAACACCACAGGUACUGAAUAUAACAACAUUACACUAUAACACCACAGGUACUGUAAUAAACAAUGUAUACUAUAACACCACAGGUACUGUAAUAAUAACAACACAUUACCACUAAACACCACAGGUACUGUAAUAUACAAACAUUAUACUAUAACACACAGGUACUGUAUAUAACAACAUUAGAAAAAAGUUGAGGUUUGAAUACUUCCCGAAGGCACAAUAUGUCUAAGAUAAUAUUAAACAGUUUGAUUAUAACUUUUCUGAUGUUUUUCUCUUGUGUUUUUCAAGCUAGGGGCUCUACCCCAUCCUCCUCUCCUCCCAAAGCCCUCCCUCCCCCCUCUCUCUCCUCCUCUCUCUGUCUGUCUCUGGGUUGGUGGCUUUCUCUCCAUCUCUCUGAUCAUUCUACUGGUCCUGUUCUGCAAGAGGAACAAAGAUGUAGCUGCUGAACCCAGAGAUGUUACGUAUGCUGAUGUUAGAAUCAUACAGGACCCAGAACCCAGGAGAAGGAGAGAGAAGUCUCCAGGAGCUGAUCCAGUCUACUCUGCAGUGAAGACCUCCAACACCACAUUUCCAGGUGGAUCUGGUCCAGGUGAUGUGACCUAUGCUGACAUCAACCACACAGAGAAGAGACAACACAACAGGAGGAGAGAGAAAGUCGUUCCAGACCCGGUCUACUCAGCAGUGAAGACAGACAGAGAUACAGGUCAGAAGGUCGUUCCAGACCCUGUCUACUCAGCAGUGAAGACAGACAAGAGAUACAGGUCAGAAGGUCGUUCCAGACCCUGUCUACUCAGCAGUGAAGACAGAGAGAGAUACAGGUCAAAAGGUCGUUCCAGACCCUGUCUACUCAGCAUGAAGCCAGGACCGGACAGACACGAGAUACAGGUCAGAAGGUCGUUACAGACCCUGUCUAUCUCACGUGUGAAGGACAGACAGCAGGCACAGACAGACAGAGCAGGACAGACAGACAGACAGACCGACAGACAGACACGACCGACAGACAGACAGACAGACAGACAGACAGACAGACAGAAGACAGACAGACAGACGGACAGACAGACAGACACAGACAGACAGACAGACAGACAGACAGACAGCUACUUAGAUUGGCUUUACAGCACGUUUGACAGAUCUAUAACAUAAUUCUAUGUGGAUUAGUGGGUUACUCAAAAGGGUUAGAUAUUGCCAUUUUAACAGAUGUAAUCUGUGUGAUACUUUAGUUAGCUGUAUCGGAUCCGGGACUGGUACAGACUCGUAUCAGAUCACUGUAUAUACCCUAUGUACAGACGGAUGUCCCGAUCACUGUAUCACUAACCCUAAUGUACAACUGAGGUUAGGUCCAGAUCACUGCAUCACUAACCCUAAUGUACAGACUGAGGUAGGUCAUCAAGAUCAUGUAUCACUAACCCUAAUGUACAGACUGAGGUAGGUCCAGAUCACUGUAUCACUAACCCUAAUGUACAGACUGAGGUAGGUCCAGAUCACUGUAUCACUAACCCUAAUGUACAGAUGAGUGUCCACACUGAUCACUACCCCUUAAUGCUAGACUAGGUA